GCACACUGUCCUAAGAAAUGGGUCACUGAAGCUUGGUCACAGCUUUUGGACAAUGGACUUAAAUCUAGGAAAAGAUGUCCCGUUUACCUUAGGUCGCCACAGAUUUCCCCUGAAGUUUAAUUCAAGCAGAAAUAGUACGGGGUGAGGAGAGGCUUCUGUUUAAAAGCUUCACACGACAUAUUUUCAACUCUAGUCUCGCGGGGGACACAAGCAUUCUUCAAGUAGAUGAUUCACUUAAGACUUCGUAGAAAGAUAGCGACGUGCACGUUAUAAUUCUCUGCCGAGCUUAAGACAGUGAGGGGGUGGACGCUUUGUCUCUGGAAUCUUCUGUAUCAGGACCAGAGCUGGGAGCCCCGAGGAGGCAGAGGGAACCGAGUCACCAGGUGUCUCUCAGAGGAGGCCUGGCGGUGCUGACCGGUCCUAUUUAUCAAGUAACUGCUGGCGUCACAGUGUUCUCUGUUGUAUCGUUAGGAGCCCUCAAGGAGACAGGGCAUUGCUUAGGAUGGACUUGCAGGCAGGUUAACAGGCAACGCCAACUGAGGAGCCGCCUUCUCAGCGUAGCCUACCCUGCUGCCCGUCCUCUGAGAACCCCAGCUACCCUGCAACCCAAGAGCUUUCAUCAUGUAGACUCGGUGGGAAUUCAUGAAGACUAUGCACCGCACCCGGACUUCUUUGCGCUUCUGGACAGGCCUGGCGCAGGACUUGAGCCCGGCGCAGGAGCAGCCCCUGCCUCCCCAGCAAUUCAUUAA
rnacentral:lncRNA from 1 species